rnacentral:tRNA from 1 species
AAGAUUUUAGUAAAAACCAUUACACUGCCUUGUCAGGGCAAAAUUGUGGGUUCAACCCCCACGAAUCUUA